rnacentral:rRNA from 1 species
GCCCAGACUCCUACGGGAGGCAGCAGUGAGGAAUAUUGGUCAAUGGGCGCGAGCCUGAACCAGCCAAGUAGCGUGAAGGAUGACUGCCCUACGGGUUGUAAACUUCUUUUAUAAAGGAAUAAAGUGAGGCACGUGUGCCUUUUUGUAUGUACUUUAUGAAUAAGGAUCGGCUAACUCCGUGCCAGCAGCCGCGGUAAUACGGAGGAUCCGAGCGUUAUCCGGAUUUAUUGGGUUUAAAGGGAGCGUAGAUGGGUUGUUAAGUCAGCUGUGAAAGUUUGCGGCUCAACCGUAAAAUUGCAAUUGAUACUGGCAGUCUUGAGUACAGUUGAGGUAGGCGGAAUUCGUGGUGUAGCGGUGAAAUGCGUAGAUAUUAGGAAGAACACCAGUGGCGAAGGCGGCUUGCUGGACAGUAACUGACGUUGAGGCUCGAAAGCGUGGGGAGCAAACAGGAUUAGAUACCCGAGUA